rnacentral:rRNA from 1 species
UCGCCUGUUUAUCAAAAACAUCUCUUCUUGGUUUGUUUUUUGAAGUAUAGCCUGCCCACUGAUAUUGUUUGAAGGGCCGCGGUAUUUUGACCGUGCAAAGGUAGCAUAAUCAUUAGUUCUUUAAUUGUGAACUGGUAUGAAUGGCUUGACGAGGUGCUGACUGUCUUUGUGUUUAAAAGUUUUGUUGAAUUUAGUCUUCGGGUAAAAAUACUCGAAUUUUGUUGUGGGACGAGAAGACCCUAUAGAGUUUCAUGUAACUUUCUUUUUUUUUGUUUGUUAUUUCUUGCUGAGUUUGGUUGCAUUUUGUUGGGGUGAUGAGAAAAUAUGUUUAACUUUUCUUUUUAAUGUUUCACUUAUUUGUGUUUUCAUGAUCCUUUAUUAUUGAUUAUAAGAUUAAAUUACCUUAGGGAUAACAGCGUAAA